rnacentral:sRNA from 1 species
AGCAGCCGCGGUAAUUCCAGCUCCAAUAGCGUAUAUUAAAGUUGUUGCAGUUAAAAAGCUCGUAGUUGAAUUUCGAGACCGGUUUACUGGUCGUGCUUUUGUACGUACUGGUAUAAUCGGUUUCUCUUUUCUGACGAACUAUAAUGCCAUUAAUUUGGUGUUAUAGGGAAUCAGGACUGUUACUUUGAAAAAUUAGAGUGUUUAAAGCAGGCUCACGCUUGAAUACAUUAGCAUGGAAUAACGAAAUAGGACGUUUGAUUUUAUUUUGUUGGUUUCUAGGAUCGACGUAAUGAUUAAUAGGGAUAGUUGGGGGCAUUAGUAUUCAAUUGUCAGAGGUGAAAUUCUUGGAUUUAUUGAAGACUAACUACUGCGAAAGCAUUUGCCAAGGAUGUUUUCAUUAAUCAAGAACGAAAGUUAGGGGAUCGAAGACGAUCAGAUACCGUCGUAGUCUUAACCAUAAACUAUGCCGACUAGGGAUCGGAUGAUGUUAAUAUUAAUGACUCAUUCGGCACCUUACGGG